AUUUCUGCUCCAUGAGAUUUUAAAUAGCCGCAGUACUCUGACUGUGCAAAGGUAGCAUAAUCAAUUGGCUUUUAAUUAGAGUCUGGUAUGAACGAAUAUAUGGGUUACAGCUGUCUUAGAAUAAUACUUCGAAAUUGGAUGUAAGUGAAAAUCCUUACUUAAAUAAAAAAGACGAGAAGACCCUAGAAGCUUAUAUUAAUAUUUUGUUGGGGCGACAGAAUUACAUUUAACUAAUUCUAAAAAACGGGACGCGGGACUGAUAGAACAAGCUACUCUAGGGAUAACAGCAUAAUUUUCCGUUUGUGACCUCGAUGUUGGACUAGGUAAAUCAUCCUUUAGAAGAGGAUGUGAUAGCUCUGUUCGAGCGUGUUUAACCU
rnacentral:rRNA from 1 species